rnacentral:rRNA from 1 species
CCUACGGGAGACAGCAGUGAGGAAUAUUGGUCAAUGGACGAGAGUCUGAACCAGCCAAGUAGCGUGAAGGAUGACUGCCCUAUGGGUUGUAAACUUCUUUUAUAUGGGAAUAAAACGCUCCACGUGUGGGAUUUUGUAUGUACCAUAUGAAUAAGGAUCGGCUAACUCCGUGCCAGCAGCCGCGGUAAUACGGAGGAUCCGAGCGUUAUCCGGAUUUAGUGGGUUUAAAGGGAGCGUAGGUGGAUUGUUAAGUCAGUUGUGAAAGUUUGCGGCUCAACCGUAAAAUUGCAGUUGAAACUGGCAGUCUUGAGUACAGUAGAGGUGGGCGGAAUUCGUGGUGUAGCGGUGAAAUGCUUAGAUAUCACGAAGAACUCCGAUUGCGAAGGCAGCUCACUGGACUGCAACUGACACUGAGGCUCGAAAGUGUGGGUAUCAAACAGGAUUAGAUACCCGUGUAGUC